AGCGAACGCUGGCGGCAGGCCUAACACAUGCAAGCCGAACGGACCCUUCGGGGUUAGUGGCGGACGGGUGAGUAACACGUGGGAACGUGCCUUUAGGUUCGGAAUAGCUCCUGGAAACGGGUGGUAAUGCCGAAUGUGCCCUUCGGGGGAAAGAUUUAUCGCCUUUAGAGCGGCCCGCGUCUGAUUAGCUAGUUGGUGAGGUAAUGGCUCACCAAGGCGACGAUCAGUAGCUGGUCUGAGAGGAUGACCAGCCACAUUGGGACUGAGACACGGCCCAAACUCCUACGGGAGGCAGCAGUGGGGAAUCUUGCGCAAUGGGCGAAAGCCUGACGCAGCCAUGCCGCGUGGAUGAUGAAGGUCUUAGGAUUGUAAAAUCCUUUCACCGGUGAAGAUAAUGACUGUAGCCGGAGAAGAAGCCCCGGCUAACUUCGUGCCAGCCGCCGCCGUAAGAU
rnacentral:rRNA from 1 species